rnacentral:rRNA from 1 species
UACCUGCAGCUCGAGUGGUGAUCGUUAUUAUUGGGCCUAAAACGUCCGUAGCCGGUCUUAUAAAUGCCUGGGUAAAUCGUAUGGCUUAACCAUACGAAUUCCGGGUAGACUGUUUGACUUGAGACCGGGAGAAGCUAGAGGUACUCCUGGGGUAGAAGUGAAAUUCUGUAAUCCUAGGGGGACCACCAGUGGCGAAGGCGUCUAGCUAGAACGGGUCUGACGGUGAGGGACGAAGCCCUGGGGCGCAAACGGGAUUAGAUACCCCGGUAGUCCAGGGUGUAAACGCUGCUUGCUUGAUGUUAGUCUGGCUCCGAGCCAGAUUAGUGUCGGAGAGAAGUUGUUAAGCAAGCUGCCUGGGAAGUACGGCCGCAAGACUGGAACUUAAAGGAAUUGGGCGGGGGAGCGACAGCAACGGGUGGAGCGUGCGGUUU